UACAGAGGGUGCGAGCGUUAAUCGGAAUUACUGGGCGUAAAGCGUGCGUAGACGGUCAAGUAAGUCGGGUGUGAAAGCCCCGGGCUCAACCUGGGAAUUGCAUUCGAGACUGCGUGGCUAGGGUGCGGAAGAGGGAGGCGGAAUUUCCGGUGUAGCGGUGAAAUGCGUAGAUAUCGGAAGGAACACCAGUGGCGAAAGCGGCUUCCUGGUCCAGCACCGACGUUCAGGCACGAAAGCGUGGGGAGCAAACAGG
rnacentral:rRNA from 1 species